AUUGAACGCUGGCGGCAGGCCUAACACAUGCAAGUCGAACGGUAACAGGAAGAAGCUUGCUUCUUUGCUGACGAGUGGCGGACGGGUGAGUAAUGUCUGGGAAACUGCCUGAUGGAGGGGGAUAACUACUGGAAACGGUAGCUAAUACCGCAUAACGUCGCAAGACCAAAGAGGGGGACCUUCGGGCCUCUUGCCAUCGGAUGUGCCCAGAUGGGAUUAGCUAGUAGGUGGGGUAACGGCUCACCUAGGCGACGAUCCCUAGCUGGUCUGAGAGGAUGACCAGCCACACUGGAACUGAGACACGGUCCAGACUCCUACGGGAGGCAGCAGUGGGGAAUACUGCACAAUGGGCGCAAGCCUGAUGCAGCCAUGCCGCGUGUAUGAAGAAGGCCUUCGGGUUGUAAAGUACUUUCAGCGGGGAGGAAGGGAGUAAAGUUAAUACCUUUGCUCAUUGACGUUACCCGCAGAAGAAGCACCGGCUAACUCCGUG
rnacentral:rRNA from 1 species